AGAGUUUGAUCCUGGCUCAGAAUCAACGCUGGCGGCGUGCCUCAGACAUGCAAGUCGAACGCGAAAGUUCCCUUCGGGGAGCGAGUAGAGUGGCGCACGGGUGAGUAACACGUAGGUAAUCUACCUUUGGAUGGGGAAUAACAACCGGAAACGGUUGCUAAUACCGCAUAAUGCAGCGGCACCUAAUGGUGACAGUUGUUAAAGCGGGGGAUCGUAAGACCUCGCGUCUGAAGAGGAGCCUGCGGCAGAUUAGCUAGUUGAUAAGGUAACGGCUUACCAAGGCGAUGAUCUGUAGCCGGCCUGAGAGGGCGGUCGGCCACACUGACACUGACAUACGGGUCAGACUCCUACGGGAGGCAGCAGUCGGGAAUUUUGGGCAAUGGGCGAAAGCCUGACCCAGCAACGCCGCGUGAAGGAUGAAAUCCCUCGGGAUGUAAACUUCGCAAGAACGGGAAGAAUAAGUAAGGGUUAAUAUCUCUUACGAUGACGGUACUGUUUGUAAGCUCCGGCUAACUCCGUGCCAGCAGCCGCGGUAAUACGGGGGGAGCAAGCGUUGUUCGGAUUUACUGGGCGUAAAGGGCGCGUAGGCGGCCACCGCAAGUCGACUGUGAAAUCUCCGGGCUUAACCCGGAAAGGUCAGCCGAUACUGCGGGGCUAGAGUGCAGAAGGGGCAACUGGAAUUCUCGGUGUAGCGGUGAAAUGCGUAGAUAUCGAGAGGAACACCUGCGGCGAAAGCGGGUUGCUGGGCUGACACUGACGCUGAGGCGCGAAAGCUAGGGGAGCGAACGGGAUUGGAUACCCCGGUAGUCCUAGCCUUAAACGAUGAAUGCUUGGUGUCUGGGGUUUUAUAGUCCCCGGGUGCCGUCGCUAACGCUUUAAGCAUUCCGCCU
rnacentral:rRNA from 1 species